ACCCGGCUGGCUAGGUUGGUAGAGUAUGUGACUCUUGAUCUCAGGGUUGUAAGUUCAAGCCCCACGCUGGGUG
rnacentral:tRNA from 1 species